rnacentral:rRNA from 1 species
UGCAAGUCGAACGCAGUAGCAAUACUGAGUGGCGAACGGGUGAGUAUAAUGUGGGUAUCUGCCUUUUGGUUUGGAAUAACAUGAGGAAACUUGUGCUAAUACCGAAUAAGCCCUUACGGGGAAAGUUUUAACGCCGAAAGAUGAGCCCAUACUUGAUUAGCUAGUUGGUAGGGUAAAAGCCUACCAAGGCUACGAUCAAUAGCUGAUCUGAGAGGAUGAUCAGCCACAUUGGGACUGAGACACGGCCCAGACUCCUACGGGAGGCAGCAGUGGGGAAUUUUGCACAAUGGGGGAAACCCUGAUGCAGCGAUGCCGCGUGAGUGAAGAAGGCCCUUGGGUUGUAAAGCUCUUUCGUCGGGGAAGAAAAUGACUGUACCCGAAUAAGAAGGUCCGGCUAACUUCGUGCCAGCAGCCGCGGUAAUACGAAGGGACCUAGCGUAGUUCGGAAUUACUGGGCUUAAAGAGCUCGUAGGUGGUUAGAAAAGUUGGUGGUGAAAUCCCAAGGCUUAACCUUGGAACUGCCACCAAAACUUUUUGACUAGAGUAUGAUAGAGGUAAGUGGAAUUUCUAGUGUAGAGGUGAAAUUCGUAGAUAUUAGAAAGAACACCAAUUGCGAAGGCAGCUUUCUGGAUCAUUACUGACACUGAGGAGCGAAAGCAUGGGUAGCGAAGAGGAUUAGAUACCCUCGUAGUCCAUGCUGUAAACGAUGUGUGCUAGAUGUUGGAAACUUUGUUUUCAGUGUCGCAGCAAAAGCGUUAAGCACACCGCCUGGGGAGUACGACCGCAAGGUUAAAACUCAAGUGAAUUGACGGGGACCCGCACAAGCAGUGGAGCAUGUGGUUUAAUUCGAAGAUACGCGCAGAACCUUACCAACACUUGACAUGUUCGUCGCGAGCCUAAGAAAUUAGGUUCUUCAUUUAGUUGGUCGAACACAGGUGCUGCAUGGCUGUCGUCAGCUCGUGUCGUGAGA